ACUCCUACGGGAGGCAGCAGUGAGGAAUCUUCCACAAUGGACGAAAGUCUGAUGGAGCGACACCGCGUGAAGGAUGAAGGCCUAACGGUUGUAAACUUCUUUUCUGAAGGAGCAUAAUGAGAGUACUUCAGGAAUAAGGGACGGCUAAAUACGUGCCAGCAGCCGCGGUAAUACGUAUGUCUCGAGCGUUACCCGGAAUCACUGGGUGUAAAGGGGUUCGUAGGCGGUUUAAUAAGUUGGAUAUGAAAGACCGGAGCUCAACUUCGUGUUUGUGUUCAAAACUGUUAAACUAGAAUCAGGGAGAGGUAAGUAGAAUUCUAAGUGUAGGGGUGCAAUCCGUAGAUACUUAGAGGAAUACCAAAAGCGAAGGCAACUUACUGGAACUGUAUUGACGCUGAGGAACGAAAGCGUGGGUAGCGAAAAGGAUUAGAUACCCUGGUAGCACAAG
rnacentral:rRNA from 1 species